rnacentral:rRNA from 1 species
UAGAGGAAGUAAAAGUCGUAACAAGGUUUCCGUAGGUGAACCUGCGGAAGGAUCAUUACUGAGAGAGGGGCUUCGCGCUCCCGGGGGUCUCGGCCCCCAACUCUUCACCCUGUGUGUACCUACCUUUGUUGCUUUGGCGGACCUCGGGGUCUCCUUCGCACUGGCUUUCGGGUCGGUGAGCGUCCGUCAGAGGCCCAUUUCAAUUCUGUUUAUUAGUGACGUCUGAGUGCCAAAUACAAAUAAAACUUUCAACAACGGAUCUCUUGGUUCCAGCAUCGAUGAAGAACGCAGCGAAAUGCGAUAAGUAAUGUGAAUUGCAGAAUUCAGUGAAUCAUCGAAUCUUUGAACGCACAUUGCGCCCCUCGGUAUUCCGGGGGGCAUGCCUGUUCGAGCGUCAUUACACCCCUCAAGCUUGGCUUGGUAUUGGGCCCUCGCCCCCGUGGCGUGCCCGAAAAGCAGUGGCGGUCCGGCGUGACUUUAAGCGUAGUAAACUUCAAUCCCGCUUUGAAAGUUCGCGUCGGGGUUCGCCAGGCAACCCACGUAUAUUGUUUACCCACUUACGUGCUUUCAAUAAUUGACCUCGGAUCAGGUAGGGAUACCCGCUGAACUUAAGCAUAUCAAUAAGCGGAGGAAG